AGAGUUUGAUCCUGGCUCAGGAUGAACGCUGGCGGCGUGCCUAAUACAUGCAAGUCGAGCGAACGGACGAGAAGCUUGCUUCUCUGAUGUUAGCGGCGGACGGGUGAGUAACACGUGGAUAACCUACCUAUAAGACUGGGAUAACUUCGGGAAACCGUAGCUAAUACCGGAUAAUAUUUUGAACCGCAUGGUUCAAAAGUGAAAGACGGUCUUGCUGUCACUUAUAGAUGGAUCCGCGCUGCAUUAGCUAGUUGGUAAGGUAACGGCUUACCAAGGCAACGAUGCAUAGCCGACCUGAGAGGGUGAUCGGCCACACUGGAACUGAGACACGGUCCAGACUCCUACGGGAGGCAGCAGUAGGGAAUCUUCCGCAAUGGGCGAAAGCCUGACGGAGCAACGCCGCGUGAGUGAUGAAGGUCUUCGGAUCGUAAAACUCUGUUAUUAGGGAAGAACAUAUGUGUAAGUAACUGUGCACAUCUUGACGGUACCUAAUCAGAAAGCCACGGCUAACUACGUGCCAGCAGCCGCGGUAAUACGUAGGUGGCAAGCGUUAUCCGGAAUUAUUGGGCGUAAAGCGCGCGUAGGCGGUUUUUUAAGUCUGAUGUGAAAGCCCACGGCUCAACCGUGGAGGGUCAUUGGAAACUGGAAAACUUGAGUGCAGAAGAGGAAAGUGGAAUUCCAUGUGUAGCGGUGAAAUGCGCAGAGAUAUGGAGGAACACCAGUGGCGAAGGCGACUUUCUGGUCUGUAACUGACGCUGAUGUGCGAAAGCGUGGGGAUCAAACAGGAUUAGAUACCCUGGUAGUCCACG
rnacentral:rRNA from 1 species